GCUUUCUGUCUGAUCAAUAGAGUAAUGGUUUAGGUUUAAUCAUGCUGCAUUAUAAUUCUGGCAAACAACUGCUGAACAGAAGAUUCUUAGAAAGGAGCAAGUACCAUCAAAGAGAAGGUAAGUUCUGUUUUGCUUUUAAUCUCCAGGGUUUCACGCAGUAAUUCUCCUCUCUGGAGCUAUCUGUUAUUUAGAGGGAAGACUGAGAAAGAGGGAGGGACCUCAUCCUGAAUCCCCCCCUCCCUGCAUCGCUGAGGAAAAUAGACUUAGAGAAAUAUCUCGGAGCUGAAUGGUAGAGCGGGUCGGGUUCCCUUCGGCUCGGGAUGGAUGGAGCAGGUGGGUGGGCACUGCCUGCUGACAGCUGACAUCCGGGAGGGAAAGCUGCGGUACGAGAAGAAGAUAACCAACUUCCCAGCGUGAAUUAAACGGGGGCUGGAAUAGACGAGAAGCUCUCUGUGAUGUCUGAGUUUUACUUGGGCUCUCAUUAGAGGUCCCCAGCCCAACGUGUUAAUUCAUCUACCAACAGGUAGAAAAAGUCGCCCAGAGCAAUAAUUACGAAGUACAAAGCCCUUGCCAUUAAAUUAUGUUAAAGUGAUGAU